rnacentral:sRNA from 2 species
CGAACCGCCGGCAGGGGCGGGGGACCCACAUUCGGGCGCUACGGCGUCCUUGGGGUGAAGCCCCGUCGCAGACUCCGGUCCGCGGCGAGGCCGGGUGAUCUCCCACCCGAACCCGACAGCUGACCUCGCAG